CCCAGUGUGAGGAGUAAUUCGGAAGAAAUAGCCCCUGGGGUCGAAACAUGGUCAGACUCCCAGGGGCUUUUGC
rnacentral:sRNA from 1 species